AAGCUGCUGGAUUUACUGGAGAGACUCAAGCAGUUUGUCAAUUCUCAAGUACGCGAGUCCGCACUUUCGCUGCGAGAGCAGCUGAAAGUGAGGCUGACCCCCCCAGCCACUUGAAACGUAAAGGCAAAUAGGCGGAGCGGUUAGUGCUACGUUUGUGCAGAUUUGUGCAGGUAAAAUUACGCUGGCCUACGCUGUAUAACACCAGUGUCUGUGGCAGUGAGUUUCAGCAGCUGUGGAGUUAUGCACUUUUACAGAAGACUGUCCACUUUUUCUAGGCUUGCUGCAUAUUAAGUUUUCUCAGUUUACACUUUAGUAAACCAAUUUAGUCAGCGGAAAGGUUGAUAUUUCUUUUGUUGCUAGUGCAGAAACAUACACAAGGUAGGCUAACGUUUUUAUUUUUUUCUGUGGAAAACAUUUUUAUACAUACCCAGUAUGUCUCUGUGAUUUGGUUUUGAAUUAUAUAUGUUUGUUAUUAAUAAUGUAGCUGUCUCAGAAAAAAAUGAAGAAAAUUGUAGAAAACAUGUAGAAAAUUCCACAGGGGGAAAGGGGGCCCUUUCAAAUUGAAAAUUCCACAGCACCUAGGCCAGGGAGCUUCAACCUGCGGCUCUAAAGCCACAUGUGGCUCUCUGGCCACAUCCACCGUGGCUCUUAUAAGACUAACUUUCACGAUACGAAACCAAAUUCUGUUUGGUUUGCAAGAGAUGGAUUGGAGAGUGGCCUGAGGCAGGUAGACUCAGGUAGGCCAAGUCCUUCUACAGCAGUGCCAAGAUGAGCCAUACCAGACUCUUUGAGGACAGAGAUGGCAGGAGAAACAAAUGGCACUUCCCUUGUCAUCCCUUUGCUGAGGUAGCAGUGCUGUGAAGAGCAGUGUUUGGUAAAAUAAACACUUGAUAUGUUCCUCAUUGUCUUAGGAAUUACAGCGGAGAUAUUGCACUGAGCAUCGAUUUGGAUGGCACCAGACCUCAACUGGACAGCUUCAAACAUUACACUAAACAGCUCUGCCCUCCUCCUGUAUGUUUGUUGGGUCACACCAUCUGUGGCAAUGGCUUUCACCAGCUGCAAGACUGGGUUUUCACUGUCUUUCAGGACAGCAUUUUGAAAUGUGGAGCUGUCACAGAACGCACAGCAUAAGCACGAAAAAAUGCAUCAAAUGCACGUGUUCAUCACAGAGAUUGUUGAUUCCCCUAAUAUGCUGAUGAAGGUUUCCAUUUUUUAAUAAUUCCACCUUCACUCGUUUUGCCCCCAAAGAUUCAUCUGCAUGGAGCCAUUCGGUACAUGAAGAGAGGUAAGAAGUCCUCUUCCUUUCUUUGGGCGGAACAGCUAGGCCCCACGAGUUUGCUGCAGCAAGUGACCUGCUCUCUUCACAUAUUCCUGUUACCCACUGUCGUAGGUCAGUCUGGAUCUCAUCAACUGAAUCCACUCUCUCCCCUUCCUCUGUCUGUUCAUCUGGAAUGAUGAUGGAGAUUGAGCAAUUUGGGCUUUCAGGUAUUUCUUGCACCUUUCUGAAGGAAGAGGUGCUCCAGAACUCUCAUCACCUUCUGCCUCACUGAGGGCCACAACAGUGAUAGCACGUAGGAAGAAGUUUUGCUAAUGACCUGACAAAGACAAAUCUUCUUCUUCAGGCAGUCCCACUGGCAUAUCAUCUUGAUGCAGUGUGCAACAUCAACCCUCAUAAAACAAGAGGGAGUUUGGCAGACUGGGUUCCAAGAAGGACAUGCAAGCAUUCAUUAAGAGUGGCCAAACUUGGAAGGUAGCUUGGCUCAGGAUUUCCAACAUCUGUCAAAUCUGCUGGCUUCACUGACCUCCAUACAGCUGGUUCCAUUCUGCCCUCACACAGCUCUUUAGCGAUCUGUUCACGCAGGUAUUUUUGAUCAUCUUCCAUAUAAGAUCGUUGAUGAUAUGAGUCCAAGUGGCAGGCUUUAUAAUUGUGUAUUCCCUUUUUUGAGAAAGAGAAAACUUGUCAUUGUAUUUAACCUUCAGCUGAAUUCAAAAGCUUGACAGUUUUCUUAUCCAGGAGAAAUGCAAUGUGAAUCUAACUCUCCUUCACUUUACAAACGAUAAUUUUACCUGCACAAAUCUGCACAAACAUAGCGCUAUAAUUAAUUAAUUUGUCCAUAUUUCUAGAAAUGAGAGCUGCUCCAUCCAAAUUGGGAUGGAUGCCGUCUCCUCUAACAAGACGAGGUUUCCUCCAGAAAGUUUCCCAAUUAUCUAUGAAGCUCAUAUCAUUUUUUGGACACCCCUCAGACAGCCAGCAAUUUAAGAAAGACAUGAAGAUAAAAUUAGAUGAAUUGAAGAAAUAAGUGAGAAAGAAGAUAGAGAAGAACAUACUAAGGCCAUAAAAUACUAUUUAUCCCUUCUGGAUGUUAGCUCACAAGCUAUCACGGGUUGCCAAGACCAGAAAAAAACCAAAGUUUUCUACAUCUUGCCUAUGUCAGCCCCUAAGAGGGCUGCAAUGGGGAUACUGAAGAUGCACACUAAUAAACACAAAAAAUUAUUUUCUUAGCAGAUUGUUCUAUUUAUUUAACCAUUACACUGUCCAAACCAUAAAUCAGUACAUGGACUAAAAAAAAAAAAACCCAAACAAAUGCACAGACUGCAGAAACAAACACAACUGCGAAUGUUGCCCUAAUUAUUACACCAAAUUACGACAUCAACCUGCACAAUCAAACCAAAUCAACAGGAAGUUUCAGCCCAUGCUCACCCUUCCGCUUAUGAAACACCAGAUGAGGGGAAAGGAUGAGAAUCAUCCUUUAAGAACCGGGUGAAUCUGCAGGACAGACAGAUGAAGGAUGGAGACGUGUCUUUGGUUCAGAAGAAUGUGAGUUUUGGUGUUGAUGGAACAUGCAAGUGUCGUGUGAUCAUGAGAAGAACAUACUGGAUUAAAUACAUCAUCAACCUGGUUGUCGUUCCUCCAGGUGAGAUUUAACCGCUACAAACCAAACCGUUAUCUCUGAGAUGGAGAGGAGUGAGGAGGAUUGGCCUGGAUCACACGUUAGAAGUAUUUCACCAAGACUGAUAACUGCAUCAGUGUAAAAGUUCUUUAAAAAGAAAGGAACCAAAGAUCUGUGGAGUCUUUGCGCUUAUAUGAAAACCCCUGUGAGGACUUCACCAAACACUGCAGUAUAAAUGUAUUCAUAGCACAGCUCCUUCUAUAAUAACAAAGUGACACUCAGCUCUGUGCUAAUCCUCGGAGCUCAGAGUCCCACUGACAGUAACUGUAACCUCCAUCCCUCUGCUGUCAAACAUGAGCUUUAGACGUCUGAGCAAUUUAUAAGAACAAUGAGAAAAAACAACAGAACACAUUUAACAGAACACCAAACAUAUGUAGGAGAGCUGAUGUGAUCUAAAAGUUAACUCCUGUUUUCAUCUUUAGCCUGUGAUUGAAGCUGUGAGUGUUUUAUUGGUGUAACCCAGACAUACUUUUCAGGUCACAUUUGACAGCAGGAAAAUCCCCCACAUGUUAUUAUUUGAGCCUGAAAUUUAAUGAGUUUUCCUAAAAUUACUCACAAAAAUCAAAAUCUUAUUGUAAAGAACACACAGCAGACACAUCCACAUAUUCCUGCAUACUUUGCUGUUAUUCACCAGUUGCAUGCUAUGGCUUUCCAGUCGCUGGCCCAAGAUACACAACAACACCAUCUCAGGACCCAGUACGGUGAGGCAUGAUUGCAGAUUCCGCACCAUUGCAUCUAUCUCGCUGCAGCCACAACCCGCGACAGUCACAUUUGAAUACUGUUUUUAUGAUGUACGGGUGCUGCAGAUAUUUCUGACCUAUUGAGGUCGAUUUUGUCUCCACAAGCGUGCAUUAAGUCAGGGAAAAUUAUCAUUUACUGAAUCUCAGACCUGUGACACUGUUCAUGUUGUGUGUGUGUAUUUUCUUCGUGGGGCAGAGGUGACAGAGUUUUGGCAUUUAGGUGGAGUGUCCUCAGAGUAAGAAGAGUCCUGGUUCAGUUUUGACCCACUGCAGGUUUCCUCUGUCCCGCUUCUUUCUUGAUGUGCUGAGAAUAAACAACCAAUACUCAGAACAGGUCCAGUCAACAACAAUUAUUUAUUACACAUAUAUGCGGGAAAUCCACACAACACCACCUAAAGCACGGUCCGGUAGAUCUCAACGAGGAACUACACAGGCUUCACUAUUUAAAGGGCUGUACAUUCCCUGUCUGCAUAAGCAAAGUGUAUUAUCAUGCAACAAUGACAGUUAAUUUGACCCCUCCUACGCAGUAUGCUUGCACGUCACUAACAGUCUCAACGCUCUUUCACCUCAAGCUGUUUCCUCUUAUUCUCUUUUAUCAGUGCAAACGUAGGCGAUGCUCUCUGCAACUCUGCACAAAGCUUCCUGUUCUGAGCUUCCUGUUCUGCACAGUUUCAGUCUGGCUAAGCAGCCUAGAAACUAUGGCACAAUUUAUAACUGAAAGGUGGCCUUUUAAUAUACUGGCCUGUUAUUGAUGCAUCAAACAAAAUACACAGCAAAUAAGCACUAGGAUAAAAUAAAAUAUAUUUCCUAAUACCUUCUCAUUGUUUUAUUGUUAUGAUAUAGAAGAGAAGACAGUUUUAUUUCUUAUUAAAUGUAUUUAAAUCUUUAUGGAUGUUGGUUAAAUAAUACUGUGUGAUAGAUUUUUUUCUCUGAAAAUUAUUAGACCCUAAAGAGUACUCUCUCUGCUCCCUGAAACAUAAAUUACUAAUCAAUAAUCAGUUUAUAAACAUGAGAUAGGCUAAUUACUAGGGCUGCCAAGAUUAGUCGACUAGUCACGAUUAUGUUGACUUUCAAAACUGUAGACGAUUAAUUUGACUAAUUCGUUUGAAGCUUCGUAAGAGCCUGAAAGAUGCAGGAAUAAGUAGUAGGACUUAACAGUGUAGUAACGGACUAAAACAGAAGAUGGCAGCAAUGCAUCUAUAAGGAUGCCAGCUGCUGUUAAACACCGAAGAAGAAGGAGCAGUCAAUGAACAGGGCUGAAUAUGUGAACCUGAACUACAAAUCCAGCUGAUGGAUUUGGUUGAUAUAAACUCAUCCUUUGACUCUACAACAGGAAAACAGGUCUUAUUUUACAGCUUUGAACCUUUCAGACAAAUCUGUGAUACUCUAGUACUGAAGAAAUAACAUUUAUGGGAGCACUCCAUUAUUGUUUACUUGUUUUUCAAUAAUUUAUGGUACAAGACACUUAUUGUAUGGUU